rnacentral:rRNA from 1 species
UACGUAGGGGGCAAGCGUUGUCCGGAAUCAUUGGGCGUAAAGCGCGCGUAGGCGGCCCGGUAAGUCCGUUGUGAAAGUCAAAGGCUCAACCUUUGAACGCCGAUGGAUACUGCCGGGCUAGAGUCCGGAGGAGGCGAGUGGAAUUCCCGGUGUAGCGGUGGAAUGCGUAGAGAUCGGGAAGAAUACCAGUGGCGAAGGCGUUCUGCUGGGCCGUUGCUGACACUGAGGCGCGACAGCGUGGGGAGCAAACAGG